rnacentral:rRNA from 1 species
AUUGAACGCUGGCGGCAGGCCUAACACAUGCAAGCCGAGCGGCAGCGGGAAAGUAGCUUGCUACUUUCGCCGGCGAGCGGCGGACGGGUGAGUAAUGCCUGGGAAAUUGCCCAGUCGAGAGGGAUAACAGUUGGAAACGACUGCUAAUACCGCAUAUGCCCUACGGGGGAAAGCAGGGGACCUUCGGGCCUUGCGCGAUUGGAUAUGCCCAGGUGGGAUUAGCUAGUUGGUGAGGUAAUGGCUCACCAAGGCGACGAUCCCUAGCUGGUCUGAGAGGAUGAUCAGCCACACUGGAACUGAGACACGGUCCAGACUCCUACGGGAGGCAGCAGUGGGGAAUAUUGCACGAUGGGGGAAACCCUGAUGCAGCCAUGCCGCGUGUGUGAAGAAGGCCUUCGGGUUGUAAAGCACUUUCAGCGAGGAGGAAAGGUCAGCAGCUAAUACCUGCUGGCUGUGACGUUACUCGCAGAAGAAGCACCGGCUAACUCCGUGCCAGCCGCCGCAGUAACAC